CUUUCUGAGACAUGUUUCUGCCUUGCAUUUCACGAGAAACUUCACACCUCCUUCAGAGUUUGUCAUACCCAUGAAUACUGAGCUAAACCCUGCUUGCUCGAGGCUUCAGGGAGCUCUAGAAGGUGUUAACCAGUAAGAUCCUGAGAAUUGAAGUCCUGGGCCUGAUGGUGCAGUACCAUGGGAGUCACCUGAUGAUGCCUAGGUCCCUGAGUAAAUCCAAAGGCAUCCCGUAGGGUCAGAGGCUCUGGGUUGACUCUACCAGGCCAUCCUCAGUGAGUGGGAACACAGGUGGGAUGUCACAUUGUCAGACAUCACCCUUUCUCCAUCUGUGUUUCAACAGGGUCGUCUGACAGUCUUUACUUCCAGCUAACACGUAUGCUUCAGGGACUGGGAGUUACUAAGCUGCCUGAAGUGUGUAGGAGGGAUAUUAAAGAAUGUUACAGGUGGAGAGGACCUUGGAACAUCUGGGCCGAGCGUUCUGGCACACCAUUUUGCUGGCUUCCCCCACCCGGCCGCCCCUUUUCUGGGUGUAAUAUGAACACCAUUUGCAUCUAAUGUUUCAGUAUUCUUUCUCCGCAGACAUCAAGGACUUCGGUGACUACCUGUGUUAGCAAAUUUGGGGAUGGUGCGGAAAUGGCACAGCCUGGAAAAAUGGCAGCAGAGGGAUUUUUAUUAGCUGUGCAAUCUUGGGAACGUUUCUUCUUUAUUUCGAGCCUUAAUUUCUCAUUCAUCAAAGAGAGGGGACUUAAAGAUGUUUUUGCUGAUGGCUCCUGUUUUGAGAGUUGAAUCUAUUAAAGCAUCUAAACUUGGGA